rnacentral:rRNA from 2 species
UUGGAGGGCAAGUCUGGUGCCAGCAGCCGCGGUAAUUCCAGCUCCAAUAGCGUAUAUUAAAGUUGUUGCAGUUAAAAAGCUCGUAGUUGAAUUUCGGGAUCAGAUUGUCGGUCGUGCCUCGGUACGCACUGGCAUUAUUGGUUCCUACCUUCUGAAGAACCGCGAUGUCAUUAAUUUGGUGUCGUGGGGAAUCAGGACUGUUACUUUGAAAAAAUUAGAGUGUUUAAAGCAGGCGCACGCUUGAAUACAUUAGCAUGGAAUAAUGAAAUAGGACGUUUGAUUCUAUUUUGUUGGUUUCUAGGAUCGACGUAAUGAUUAAUAGGGAUAGUUGGGGGCAUUAGUAUUCAAUUGUCAGAGGUGAAAUUCUUGGAUUUAUUGAAGACUAACUACUGCGAAAGCAUUUGCCAAGGAUGUUUUCAUUAAUCAAGAACGAAAGUUAGGGGAUCGAAGACGAUCAGAUACCGUCGUAGUCUUAACCAUAAACUAUGCCGACUAGGGAUCGGAUGAUGUUAAUUUUUUAAUGACUCAUUCGGCGCCUUACGGGAAAC